rnacentral:lncRNA from 1 species
AAAGAGGGAACCAGCCUUCACUGUUCAUUUCUAUGGUGUCCCAUUUCAUACUCUAACCGGAUAUUCAUUAUUCACUAAACUGGUCAACUCCUUUUCAUAAAUAUCUCUCCAAUAAAACAGCACAGAGAGAAAAGCAAUCACUUCUACAGUUCUCUCUCUCAAGCCCCCAUAGAAUCCCUUUCUUCCCCCUAUCUCUGUCGCCUGCGAGCACCGAAAAUUUCUGCAGAUUAAUGUGGUAAUGUUGAAUUUAACGAUUACAUAUUUAUAUGUAUUUAAUUUGAUAUCUCUAUUUCAUUUUAUUGGUUUGAUUUUGGUGGUUCAUGUGACCCGUUCUUUGCAAUUCGUUUUUCUCGUCCCUAAUCUACCUCUCAUUGGUUCUUGUUCAUUUUCUGCCAAUUUCAUCCUGCGAAGUCUAUUGGUAUCGGAGCUCACAAUUCAAACUCAGGAUACUGCCUUGAAGAUGAUGACAUGUGCAAAGUUUGAGGGUAAAUGAUUUGGCGAGAAAAAUAAUUUAAAUAUUUUGUGAAGUACCGUUGAAGUUAUUCUCUUGCAAUAGGGACUUUACAAAGAUUUGUAAGGUAAGAUGUCACAAGGCAUGAAGAAGCGGAGUUGGAAGAAUUGAAACUGAAGACAGUCAACACCAUUAGAUUGGCUUGUACUUAGGUAAGAAUAAUGCUGAACAAAUAGGGAAUGAAAAAACAAAAAACUGAUGUGACAGCUAAUAAUUGAGUAUUUUUAUGAUGUUUUUUUCCCAUUCUUCAAUGAAAAUUUGUCAAGUGUAAUUUAGAAAUACUUUUCAGUCAUUGACUUUGGCCACG